rnacentral:snRNA from 1 species
AUCACUUCUUGGCCUGUUGGCUAAGAUAAAGUAUAGUAUCUGCUUUUAUCAGUUUAAUAUCUGAUAAUCCUCUAUUCAGGUCAAAAUAUUCAAUUACAUCUCUAUGCUUUAUUUAUUUUAUUUACUUAUUUUUUGGUACUGGGGAUUGAACUUAGGACUUUGUGCUUGCAAAGCAGGUGGUGGAACCACUAAGCUAAAUCCCCAGCCCACCA